CCCUAGGGACGACCCUAGACGGCCAAACAACCUGCGGGACGACCCGC
rnacentral:ncRNA from 1 species